rfam:Ichthyophthirius multifiliis unplaced genomic scaffold scaff_1120509251430, whole genome shotgun sequence.
AUACCUUCUCGGCCUUUUGGCUAAGAUCAAGUGUAGUAUCUGUUCUUAUCAGUGUGACAACUGAUACUGUCCCUAUUAGGGACAUGUGGUUUCACAUUAAUUUUUCAUUGGGGUUGGGUUUACUAGUGGCUUGCCCUGGUCCCAACAUAGUUGCCCUAGGCUUGCACGAUUCCUAGGUGUGGCUAACCCAUU